AUGUGCUUCCUUCUUCAAUCCACACUAAGAUCCCCGGAAAAUGAAAGCGCUUCCUCCGCGACCUCUUUGUGUAGAGCUAGUGAGACCCCAGAACCUCUCCGACCCUGGGUACGAACCCCAACGCCAGCAUCCCCCGGCGGACACCCCCGGUUCCCACGUCUGCAGGACAAAAGGCAGCUGUGCCGCCUCGUGCGCUCUCCCAGUGGGCUGCAUGCCCAGGACACAGUGACUCUGAUCCUGAUGCUUCUUGAGAAGGAACAAGGCAGAUAUGGCACCCAGUGUCUGAACCAGGAUGUGUUGCAGUCAAGAUGGAGAAUUGGUCCCUGCCACCCGUGCUGCACCUCAGCGUCUCUCACUGGAAGCGGGAGCUGUAUAUGGAGCAUCAGUGGCAGCUCCCAGGAUGCUCUCUCUGUCAUUAGACAGCCUCCCCAGAUGGGGCUGCAUUCCAGGGUCUGUGCUUCUGAAUUCCUCUGGAGCUCUCUGGCAGGCAGCCAGUGUGCUGUGAAGGAUUAGAUUCUGUCUCCCUCCCUCCUACAUAAACCCCUAGAGGAUUUCCCUCUUAAAGUUUUAAAAGACUGGCUCCAACCAGCAGCUCCAACAAGUGAGUCCGUUUAUGAGUUGAAUACCUUGGGAAUUAUGCUAUACGUAUAGGUCAUAGUUGAAUAAUUAGUAUGUGCAAAUUGACUUUUCUCUUUGAGGGAGGGUAAUGGGAAAUCUUCAUAGUUUUUUCUAGGGGGAUUGCCCCACCAUAUACCAACUGUCACAAGGGCACAGUUUGUUUUUGAGUAGAAUGAGUCAUUUGUUUCUCUCUCGGCACCUCCUUUUUAGUUAUAAAGUUAGCUGACCAUAUUUUAAAAGCCUGUUGUAAUGUAUGUUCUUUAAAGGGAAGCUUUUCUCUAUUUGUGCUAAGAAGUAAAGGUUUCCAACUUUAUUCUGUGUGAUUACAUAUUACGAAAUCAAAAGGCUAUCAGUUAUUUCCAUACAAAGGCAAUUUUGUCAGUUCUUUGUAAACACAGAUUUUUGGCAAAAUUUAAUAAAAUGAAUGUGCCAUUUUCCUAUAUUUUAACU
rnacentral:lncRNA from 1 species